UACAGAGACUGCAAGCGUUAUUCGGAUUCACUGGGCGUAAAGGGUGCGCAGGCGGCCAAGUGUGUGAGGCGUGAAAGCCUGGGGCUUAACUCCAGAAUUGCACCUCAAACUACAUGGCUAGAGCAUUGGAGAGGGUAGCAGAAUUCACGGUGUAGCAGUGAAAUGCGUAGAUAUCAUGAGGAAUACCAGAGGCGAAGCGGCUCCCUGGACAAUAGCUGACACUCAGGCACGAAAGCGUGGGGAGCAAACAGG
rnacentral:rRNA from 1 species